GAUGAACGCUGGCGGCGUGCCUAAUACAUGCAAGUCGAGCGAACAGACGAGGAGCUUGCUCCUCUGACGUUAGCGGCGGACGGGUGAGUAACACGUGGAUAACCUACCUAUAAGACUGGGAUAACUUCGGGAAACCGGAGCUAAUACCGGAUAAUAUAUUGAACCGCAUGGUUCAAUAGUGAAAGACGGCUUUGCUGUCACUUAUAGAUGGAUCCGCGCCGCAUUAGCUAGUUGGUAAGGUAACGGCUUACCAAGGCGACGAUGCGUAGCCGACCUGAGAGGGUGAUCGGCCACCCUGGAACUGAGACACGGUCCAGACUCCUACGGGAGGCAGCAGUAGGGAAUCUUCCGCAAUGGGCGAAAGCCUGACGGAGCAACGCCGCGUGAGUGAUGAAGGUCUUCGGAUCGUAAAACUCUGUUAUUAGGGAAGAACAAAUGUGUAAGUAACUAUGCACGUCUUGACGGUACCUAAUCAGAAAGCCACGGCUAACUACGUG
rnacentral:rRNA from 1 species